rnacentral:rRNA from 1 species
GACGUAGGGGGCCAGCGUUGCUCGGAAUUACUGGGCGUAAAGGGUUCGUAGGCGGUGCGGCAAGUCGGGAGUGAAAUCUCUGGGCUUAACUCAGGGGCUGCUUCUGAAACUGCCGUGCUUGAGUGCGGGAGAGGCGAGUGGAAUUGCAGGUGUAGCGGUGAAAUGCGUAGAUAUCUGCAGGAACACCCGUGGCGAAGGCGGCUCGCUGGACCGCAACUGACGCUGAGGAACGAAAGCUAGGGGAGCAAACAGG